AUCUGCUCAUGCGCUAAACUGGUUCAACACACCUCAGUGGAUGGACAAGUACGAUGUCACAUACACACAUCUGGAGGCUGUAACCAACCAUCCUGUACUAUCGACAAAUGAGCUGCUUUAUUGAAGCAGUGCCUUGCUCAAGGGUACACCAGUAAAUUCUGGACCACCACCUUAGCGUUCAGUGUGGUCUCCAGGUGUUUUUGGGCCACAUACACAGCAGCACGUGUCUUUCCGCCUCCCGUCGGCAGCCAAAUAAUUGUGUUCUCUCCCAGAAGAGCCCUUUCGACCACUUCCUUCUGCUUCGCCUUGUCCACUGCCACCAAACAGUGCAGUUGGUGGGGGUUUUAAAUUCUGUUGCGAUCAGCUGUGUGACGCGGAGGCACGGAAACGAAAAUGAAAGACUUUGAACUCUGAAAAAUGGCCCCGCUGAGGGAGGCUCUGGAGGAACAACAUAUAGUCUUCCUUUUGCAGUGACUGUGGAAGACUGAAAUACAGUGACAUAAAAUUGGUCUUUUUUAAAUGAAACCAUGUCUACUCCUAUAUUUAAAUCUUAUCUAUAGAUUUGCUCUUUUAGGUGCUAAUAGCAGAGCAGUUUUUGAAUGCACCCUACUUGGGCCCUAGCUGCUGUUCUUCGUUGCAUGAGGAAAGCGAAACCGAUGUCAA